CUUUCUCUUUCUCCUCUCCUCCUCUUUCCACUCUCCUUCUUCUCCUCGCCUCCCCUCACUCUCCUCCCUCCGACUCUGCACUUCAGCCCUGCCUCCUUCAUCUCCUUUUCCUGCCUGUUCCCCUUCAGUGCCCGCUCUCCUCUCUCUUCUCCAGGCUCAGACACUCUCACUGCUCUGUCUGUGGUCGCUGUCCCCUCCCUGUCCCAGGCUCCCUUCUCUGCCCCUGCCCUCCUCCCCUCCCCACUCCCUUCCGUCCCUUCCCUCUGGUCCUCUCCUCCCCCAGCCCCCUCCUUGCCCAUUUCCCCCACUUUCUUUUUCUUCCCACUCCUUUGGUUGUCUUGCUCUUUCCCUGCCCAGCUCUGCCCACCUCCUCUCUGCCCUCUCCUCUCCCGCUCCCGAGGCGCACUUCCCUCAUUGCGUCCUCUCCUCUUCCUCCCAUCCUCCGCCCCGUCCGGGCUCCUUGUUCCUCCCUCUGCGGUGCUUUCGGGCCUUGCUCCCUCCAGUCUGGGGAGGCCCCUGCUCCCCCCCUUGUUCUUCACCCACCCAGGGGUCCUCUGAGGCUGGGGCGGGCGGUGCCACCUGGUGUCCCCAGGGGACCCCUGUGACCCUGCCCUUUCUUUUCUGUCUGCCGGGGAUGCCUGACGCUGCCUGGAGGGAUCAGCCACCCUAGGCCCAGGAACCCAGAACCAGAAGGACACCGAGGUUGGCCGCGACCUUCCCACCUCACAAGCAUGCAGCAGGACGGGAGGCUCACAGACAGGAUGGACACCCAGCGUUUCUGAAGCCCAUGCACCGCUGGGACAGAGAAGGCAUGGCUGGAGGCCGGGAGACCUGCAGGAGGACCCUCUGGGGCCUCUGUCCCCACCUGCUGGCGGACGCUAGAAGUGCAACCCUGCUAUAUUAGACACGGAGACCCACAAGAAGUGAAGAGACCAACCUGGGGAAGGGAGACGGGCUGUCGGGUGGGUGGAGAGGGAGAAUUCGCAGAAUCCUGUGCCAAUGAAUGCUUUUGUUCCUAACAUACAAACACCCUGCCCAGCGA